CAGUAGCCGCGGUAAUACGUAGGUGGCAAGCGUUGUCCGGAAUUAUUGGGCGUAAAGGGCUCGCAGGCGGUUUCUUAAGUCUGAUGUGAAAGCCCCCAGCUCAACCGGGGAGGGUCAUUGGAAACUGGGAAACUUGAGUGCAGAAGAGGAGAGUGGAAUUCCACGUGUAGCGGUGAAAUGCGUAGAGAUGUGGAGGAACACCAGUGGCGAAGGCGACUCUCUGGUCUGUAACUGACGCUGAGGAGCGAAAGCGUGGGGAGCGAACAGGAUUAGAUACCCCAGUAGUCCCUGUCUCUUAUAA
rnacentral:rRNA from 1 species